rnacentral:rRNA from 1 species
CCUACGGGUGGCAGCAGUGGGGAAUAUUGGACAAUGGGCGAAAGCCUGAUCCAGCCAUGCCGCGUGUGUGAAGAAGGCCUUCGGGUUGUAAAGCACUUUCAGUGGGGAAGAAAGCCUUGGGGCUAAUACCCUCGAGGAAGGACAUCACCCACAGAAGAAGCGCCGGCUAACUCCGUGCCAGCAGCCGCGGUAAUACGGAGGGUGCGAGCGUUAAUCGGAAUUACUGGGUGUAAAGCGCGCGUAGGCGGUCUGAUAAGCCGGUUGUGAAAGCCCCGGGCUCAACCUGGGAACGGCAUCCGGAACUGUCAGGCUAGAGUGCAGGAGAGGAAGGUAGAAUUCCCGGUGUAGCGGUGAAAUGCGUAGAGAUCGGGAGGAAUACCAGUGGCGAAGGCGGCCUUCUGGACUGACACUGACGCUGAGGUGCGAAAGCGUGGGUAGCAAACAGGAUUAGAUACCCCAGUAGUC